CUUCUCGCCAGCAAUGGAACAAAGCUGGAUGGAGAAUGAUUUUGACAAGUUGAGAGAAGAAGGCUUCAGACGAUUGGUAAUAACGAACUUCUCCAAGAUAAAGGAGGAUGUUCGAACCCAUCACAAAGAAGCAAAAAACCUUGAAAAAGGAUUAGACGAAUGCUAACUAGAAUAAACAGCAUAGAGAAGACCUUAAAUGAACUGACGGAGCUGAAAAUCAUGGCAUGAGAACCACAUGUCACAUACACAAGCUUCAGUAGCCAAUUCAAUCAAUUGAAAUAAAGGGUACCAGUGAUUGAAGAUCAAAUGAAUGAACUGAAGCAAGAAGAGAAGUGUAGAGAAAAAAAAAGAAAUGAACAAAGCCUCCAAGAAAUAUGGAACUAUGUGAAAAGACCAAAUCUACGUCUGAUUGUUGUACCUGAAAGUGACAGGGAGAAUGGAACCAAGUUGGAAAACACUCUGCAGGAUAUUAUCCAGGAGAACAUCCCCAACCUAGCAAGGCAGGCCAACAUUCAAAUUCAGGAAAUAUAGAGAAUGCCACAAAGAUACUCCUCAAGAAGAGCAACUCCAAGACACAUAAUUGUCAGAUUCACCAAAGUUGAAAUGAAGGAAAAAAUGUUAAGGGCAGCCAGAGAGAAAGGUCGGGUUACCCACAAAGGGAAGCCCAUCAGACUAACAGCAGAUCUCUCAGCAGAAACUCUCCAAGCCAGAAGAGAGUGGGACCAAUAUUCAACAUUCUUAAAGAAAAGAAUUUUCAACCCAGAAUUUCAUAUCCAGCCAAACUAAGUUUCAUAAGUGAAGGAGAAAUAAAAUCUUUUACGGACAAGCAAAUGCUGAGAGAUUUUGUCACCACCAGGCCUGCCCCACAAGAGCUCCUGAAGGAAGCACUAAACAUGGAAAGGAACAACUGGUACUAGCCACUGAAAAAACAUGCCAAAAUGUAAAGAUCAUCGAUGCUAGGAAAAAACCGCAUCAACUAACAAGCAAAAUAACCAGCUAACAUCAUAAUGACAGGAUCAAGUUCACACAUAACAAUAUUAACCUUAAAUGUAAAUGGGCUAAAUGCUCCAAUUAAAAGACACAGACCGGUAAACUGGAUAAACAGUCAAGAACCAUCAGGGUGCUGUAUUCAGGAGACCCAUCUCACAUGCAGAGACACACAUAGGCUCAAAAUAAAGGGAUGAAGGAAGAUCUUCCAAGCAAAUGGAAAACGAACAAACAUAAAAGCAGGGGUUGCAAUCCUGGUCUCUGAUAAAACAGACUUUAAGCCAACAAAGAUCAAAAGAAACAAGACGCCAUUACAUAAUGGUAAAGGGAUCAAUUCAACAAGAAGAGCUAACUAUCGUAAAUAUAUAUGCACCCAAUACAGGAGCACCCAGAUUCAUAAAGCAAGUUCUUAGAGACCUACAAAGAGACUUAGACUCCCACACAAAAAUGGGAGACUUUAACACCUCACUGUCAACAUUAGACAGAUAAAUGAGACAGAAAGUUAACAAGGAUAUCUAGGACUUGAACUCAGCUCUGCAACAAGGAGACCUAACAGACAUCUACAGAACUCUCCACCCCAAAUCAACAGAAUAUACAUUCUUCUCAGCACCACAUGGCACUUAUUCCAAAAUUGACCACAUAGUUGGAAGUAAAGCACUCCUCAGCAAAUGUAAAAGAACAGAAAUUAUAACAAACUGUCUCUCAGACCAUAGUGCAAUCAAACUAGAAGUCAGGAUUAAGAAACUCACUCAAAACCACCCAACUACAUGGAAACUGAACAACCUGCUCUUGAAUGACUACUGGGUACAUAAUGAAAUGAAGGCAUAAAUAAAGAUGUUCUUUGAAACCAGUGAGAACAAAGACACAACAUACCAGAACCUCUGGGACACAUUUAAAGCAGUGUAUAGAGGGAAAUUUAUAGCACUAAAUGCCCACAAGAGAAAGAUCUAAAAUUGACACCCUAACAUCACAAUAAAAAGAACAAGAGAAGUAAGAGCAAACACGUUCAAAGCUAGCAGAAGGCAAGAAAUAACUAAGAGCAGAGCAGAGCUGAAGGAGAUAGAGGCACAAAAAAAAAACCCUCAAAAAAACAAUGAAUCCAGGAGCUGGUUUUUUGAAAAGAUCAACAAAAUUGAUAGACCGCUAGCAAGACUAAUAA